CCCUUAGAUGUUCUGGGCUGCACGCGUGCUACAAUGGCGUUUCCAGCAAGUCUGCGAACCCGAGAGGGCCAGCGGAUCUUCGAAUUGGCGUCGUGAUCGGGACAGUCGAUUGCAAUUAUUUGACUCAAACGAGGAAUUCCUUGUAAUCGCGAUUCAUCAUAUCGCGCUGAAUACGUCCCUGCCCUUUGUACACACCGCCCAUCGCUCCUACCGAUUGAGCGAUCCGGUAAAUGUUUUGGAUUGGUGCCGGGGCGGCUAGCUGCCGGUCGCUACGAAAUUUUGUGAACCUUAUCGCUUAGAGGAAGGAAAAGUCGUAACA
rnacentral:rRNA from 1 species